UGAUAAUUGAUUUAUCAUGCAAUAUUGAAAUUUCUAACGCACCAGUCAGAAAUAUAACCUCAAUUCAGUGAUAUAUGAAUAAAGAGAAAGAAAAUUACAGUGCUGAUAACCCCUACGAAAAUGGAUUUCAAACUAGGGAAAUUUGCUCCAAUAGAGAAGAUAAAUACAAAGUUAGAUAAAAUAUUAGAAAUUAUUAAUCCUUUGUCACCAAAAAAACAAGCAAGGCUUCAAAACAUGCAAGAAGAAAAAUAAGAACACAUAUCAAUAAAUAAGAACAUAUAUCGAUUAAGUGUUGAAAAGAAAAUGAAUUGUUGAGUAUUUCUUAAGUAAUGAUCUUGUAUUACAGAAUAGGAAAGUGAUAUAUUUAAUACGAAAACGCCAGAGUAUAUAGGUCGUGUUCAAUGCAAAUUCUGUUUAUGUAUUGUGAUAAUUGAUUUAUCACAUAUUUAUUGAAAUUUCUGACAGACCAGUCAAAAAUCACAUAACCUCAAUUCAGUGAUAUGAUAU